GCGAGCGGCGGAUGGGUGAGUAACACGUGGGGAACCUGCCCCAUAGUCUGGGAUACCACUUGGAAACAGGUGCUAAUACCGGAUAAGAAAGCAGAUCGCAUGAUCAGCUUUUAAAAGGCGGCGUAAGCUGUCGCUAUGGGAUGGCCCCGCGGUGCAUUAGCUAGUUGGUAAGGUAAAGGCUUACCAAGGCGAUGAUGCAUAGCCGAGUUGAGAGACUGAUCGGCCACAUUGGGACUGAGACACGGCCCAAACUCCUACGGGAGGCAGCAGUAGGGAAUCUUCCACAAUGGACGCAAGUCUGAUGGAGCAACGCCGCGUGAGUGAAGAAGGUUUUCGGAUCGUAAAGCUCUGUUGUUGGUGAAGAAGGAUAGAGGUAGUAACUGGCCUUUAUUUGACGGUAAUCAACCAGAAAGUCACGGCUAACUACGUGCCAGCAGCCGCGGUAAUACGUAGGUGGCAAGCGUUGUCCGGAUUUAUUGGGCGUAAAGCGAGCGCAGGCGGAAGAAUAAGUCUGAUGUGAAAGCCCUCGGCUUAACCGAGGAACUGCAUCGGAAACUGUUUUUCUUGAGUGCAGAAGAGGAGAGUGGAACUCCAUGUGUAGCGGUGGAAUGCGUAGAUAUAUGGAAGAACACCAGUGGCGAAGGCGGCUCUCUGGUCUGCAACUGACGCUGAGGCUCGAAAGCAUGGGUAGCGAACAGGAUUAGAUACCCUGGUAGUCCAUGCCGUAAACGAUGAGUGCUAAGUGUUGGGAGGUUUCCGCCUCUCAGUGCUUGCAGCUAACGCAUUAAAGCACUCCGCCUGGGGAGUACGACCGCAAGGUUGAAACUCAAAAGGAAUUGACGG
rnacentral:rRNA from 1 species